rnacentral:rRNA from 1 species
GAUGAACGCUGGCGGCGUGCCUAAUACAUGCAAGUCGAGCGAACAGACGAGGAGCUUGCUCCUCUGACGUUAGCGGCGGACGGGUGAGUAACACGUGGAUAACCUACCUAUAAGACUGGGAUAACUUCGGGAAACCGGAGCUAAUACCGGAUAAUAUAUUGAACCGCAUGGUUCAAUAGUGAAAGACGGUUUUGCUGUCACUUAUAGAUGGAUCCGCGCCGCAUUAGCUAGUUGGUAAGGUAACGGCUUACCAAGGCAACGAUGCGUAGCCGACCUGAGAGGGUGAUCGGCCACACUGGAACUGAGACACGGUCCAGACUCCUACGGGAGGCAGCAGUAGGGAAUCUUCCGCAAUGGGCGAAAGCCUGACGGAGCAACGCCGCGUGAGUGAUGAAAGUCUUCGGAUCGUAAAACUCUGUUAUUAGGGAAGAACAAAUGUGUAAGUAACUAUGCACGUCUUGACGGUACCUAAUCAGAAAGCCACGGCUAACUACGUG